rnacentral:rRNA from 1 species
ACUCCUACGGGAGGCAGCAGUAGGGAAUCUUCCACAAUGGACGAAAGUCUGAUGGAGCAACGCCGCGUGAACGAUGAAGGCCUCGGUCGUAAAGUUCUGUUGUAAGGGAAGAACAAGUGCCGCAGGCAAUGGCGGCACCUUGACGGUACCUUGCGAGAAAGCCACGGCUAACUACGUGCCAGCAGCCGCGGUAAUACGUAGGUGGCAAGCGUUGUCCGGAAUUAUUGGGCGUAAAGCGCGCGCAGGCGGCCUCUUAAGUCUGAUGUGAAAGCCCCGGCUCAACCGGGGGAGGGCCAUUGGAAACUGGGAGGCUUGAGUAUAGGAGAGAAGAGUGGAAUUCCACGUGUAGCGGUGAAAUGCGUAGAGAUGUGGAGGAACACCAGUGGCGAAGGCGACUCUUUGGCCUAUAACUGACGCUGAGGCGCGAAAGCGUGGGGAGCAAACA